rnacentral:rRNA from 1 species
CCUACGGGUGGCAGCAGUGAGGAAUAUUGGUCAAUGGGCGCGAGCCUGAACCAGCCAAGUAGCGUGAAGGAUGACUACCCUACGGGUUGGAAACUUCUUUUAUAAAGGAAUAAAGUGAGGCAAGUGUGCCUUUUUGGAUGUACUUUAUGAAUAAGGAUCGGCUAACUCCGUGCCAGCAGCCGCGGUAAGACGGAGGAUCCGAGCGUUAUCCGGAUUUAUUGGGUUUAAAGGGAGCGUAGAUGGGUUGUUAAGUCAGGUGGGAAAGUUUGCGGCUCAACCGUAAAAUUGCAAGUGAUACUGGCAGUCUUGUGUACAGUUGAGGUCGGCGGUCUUCUUGUUGUCGCUGUGCCAUUCUUAGAUAUCAC